UACGGAGGAUGCAAGCGUUAUCCGGAAUGAUUGGGCGUAAAGCGUCCGCAGGUGGCGAUGUAAGUCUGCUGUUAAAGAGUCUAGCUCAACUAGAUAAGAGCAGUGGAAACUACAUAGCUAGAGUACGUUCGGGGCAGAGGGAAUUCCUGGUGUAGCGGUGAAAUGCGUAGAGAUCAGGAAGAACACCGGUGGCGAAAGCGCUCUGCUAGGCCGCAACUGACACUGAGGGACGAAAGCUAGGGGAGCGAAUGGG
rnacentral:rRNA from 1 species